GACUCUCAGCAACGGAUAUCUCGGCUCUCGCAUCGAUGAAGGACGUAGCAAAAUGCGAUACCUGGUGUGAAUUGUAGAAUCCCUUAAACCAUCGAGUCUUUGAAUGCAAGUUGCGCUUGAGGCCAUCCGGCUAAGGGAAUGCUUGCCUGGGCAUCA